ACCAUUAUUGCGAAAAUUGGGGAAGUUGUAUUUGGAUUGGUUUUUAUAUUCUAUUAGUGUAUUUUUGUUCAUAAUAACUUCCUAUUUUCAAAGAUUUUGAAGCGUAUUCAACUUCCAAUCCUUUCUUUUUUCUUCUCCAAUACCUUCCUUCACGAUUCUUCAUCUUCAAAUCAUUGUUGCGGAAAUUGGGGAAAGUUGUGUUUGGGAAGCAGUUCAUCGAAGAUCCAUGUGCCUAUUUUUGACAAAAAAAUUCCAUUUGAGAAAGAUCCCAUAACCGGUCCACUUGAUGUACAGCUUCUUGAUCAAUACCGUGCGUGGCUUCGUCAGGGAUUAAUUGUCAGGCACGAUAACAAAAUAAGGAUGACCAUUACAAAAAGUAGAUGGCAGUUUUUGAGCAUGGGGGCGAGUACAAUUUUGGCAUCACAACUGUCGCCGAUAAAAAUUGGUUCUACCUUUUAUCAAUGCCUUGUCAACUCUGGAAUGAUGAGGUGCAAUAUAGCUGACUAUAUACUUAGUUAUUUGAAAUACUUCAUGUAUUUUUUGGUGUUUUUAACUACUGUAUUUAAUGAUUGCAACACAUUGACGUCAUUUUCUACUACUCUCGAAAGAAAGGCAAGUAUGACAAAAGGACCAAUUACAAAUUCACUACGGUGGACUGUGUAUUCAGGCAGAAGGUUGAUGUUGUCUAUAGUGCCUAUCACAAUCUUGAAACUUAAACCAAUGUAGCCAAUGAAGAGAAAGUGUUGUGCGAGUACGUGAAGGGGCACAGGAUUCUUGCAAAUGUCCUGUGGCAUACGGUUGACAAUGUGCUGAUUCCAGUCAACAUACAAAAAUAAAAUCACUGGAUAUUGGUUGUGCUUUCAUUUAAGGACAGAUAAUUUUAUAUAUAUAUAUUUUGUUAAGAUAAGUGUUGGAUGUAUUUUGAAUGAAGAUACUGAUACCUUUUUCUAUGCAUAUAUUUUUGUGUGUUUUGGUAUCGUUAUUUUACGGACAGGCGUCUUUAUGUGUACGACUCGUAUCAAGCAGCAGGGCAUAAUGCAGUUGUUAAGGCUGAAGUACAGAAACUUGCUACACUUCUACCACAUUUCCUACAUAUUGGUGGAUUCUUCAUAGACCAAAAAGGCAUAGAUUUGGUCAAAGACCCAGCUUAUACGGAUAAGGCACAAAAUGAUAGUCUUGAAGUAGUCUAUGCUGAAAAACUGCCUCAGCAAGCCAGUGGUAGCAUGGAUUGUGGUGUUUACGUGGCAUCAUUUGCUGAGAAUUUGAGCUCAGGUGGAGUGGUUCCAACUACAGUUGAUGCAACGAUGAUGCGUAUGAGAUAUGGUGCACUCCUAUGGGACUACGCAGAACGAAAGGUAGCUGAAGAUGCUCAGAGUGAUAAUGAGGUGCCACCAAGACCAAUUAGGCCAACCAUAGAUUACGCAUUCGUUGAUGCAAUCGAUGUUUGAUUAGUACUAAUUUAUAACUUUGGAUUAAAUACCAGAUUUGUGACUGGUUUUAAGUGAACCUAUUUUGGCAUACAUUUUUUGGUUUUAGA